GCAGGGUCCCGCUCGAGCACGGCGCCCUGUGAACCCGGUCAGGUCCGGAAGGAAGCAGCCGUAGCAGGUCUUCGGCUGCGGGUGGGGGCGCCCUGCGGU
rnacentral:SRP_RNA from 1 species